AUAUAAAGUUAGGUCAAUAUUAUCAAGGUUAAUGAAAUCUAAAGCAUCCCUUGUUUUGCUCAAAUUCCUAUAAAGUAUAAACAUGAAAAAAACAACAUGAAUAUAAACCAUAUAUAUUAGUGAUAAAUCUAAUUU